AUUUAUUUAAGUUAAUUUAAUUUUUUUAAUAAAAAAUUACUUAUAAUAUUUUUAGUAUUUUUAAGAAAUAAUCUAUUAGUUUAUGUACUGUCAAGUGAAUUAAAAUAAUUUUUAAGUAAAUUUUUUUUAGUACCUUUUGUAUCAGGGUUAUUUAAAUAAUUUAAUAAUAUUUAUUAUCCCGAAUUAAAAAGGUCAAAUAUUUUAUUAACACUUUAAUUGUUGAAUCAAUUUUGUUAAUUAAAUAUUAGUAGCUAAAUGUUAUUCGAUUUUUGUCUAUCUGGUUAUUGGGGAUUUAAUUAAAUUAAAUACUAUUUUUUUAAUAUUUUAUAUUUUUUAAAUAUAUAGUGUAAUUUUAUUAGGGAUAAUCUUAAUAAUUUAACCUAAAAUUUUUUUUACUUAGAAGUUUAGUAUCUUUAAAAUUUUGAAUAAAGUUUGUAAUUAAUUUUCUUCUUCAUUUAAUAUUUUAUUAAAUUUAGGUUUUUACUCAAUUUUAUUAUUAAAUAUUAAUAUAAUAUUAAUUAUGAUUAAAUUAGUAUAGUUUACAAUUUAAUUACUAUGAAUUCGACAUUUUUUAUUUCCAACUGUUUACCAAAAACAUUUCUUUUAGUUUUUAUUAAAGGUAUGUUCUGCCCUAUGGUAUUUUCUAAAUGGCUGCAGUAUUUUGACUGUGCAAAGGUAGCAUAGUAAUUAGUUUCUUAAUUAGAAUCUUGUAUGAAUGGAUUAAUGAGAAAUAUAUUUUAUUUAUUUAAUUACUAAAAUUUAAAAUUUAGGUUAAAAUGCCUAGUAAAAUUCUUGGGACGAUAAGACCCUAUAGAACUUAAAAUAAAAUUAAACAUAUUAAUUUUUAAUUUUUAUAUUUUAAUUGUUUAUUUUAUAUUUCGCUGGGGUGGUGAAUAAAUUUUAACUUUAUUUUUAAAAAUCAUUAAUUUAUGAUAUUUUGAUCCUUAUUUAAAGAUUAUAAGAUUAAGUUACCUUAGGGAUAACAGCGUAAUUUUGGUGGGGAGUUCAUAUCUAUACUGAUUUUGCGACCUCGAUGUUGAAUUAAGAAUAUACUAAGAAGCAGAAUUCUUAGCGUUAAGUCUGUUCGACUUUUAAAUUCUUACAUGAUUUGAGUUCAAACCGGUGUGAGCCAGGUUGGUUUCUAUCUUAGAAAAUUAUUAAUUAUUAAGUACGAAAGGACCAAUAAUUUAUACUUCAAGUAUUUCUUUAAAAACAG
rnacentral:rRNA from 1 species